rnacentral:lncRNA from 1 species
GGCGGGGCGAUCCCAGCGUGCGGCCCUGAGGCACUGUCCCCACACCGCUCCACACUGUCCCGAAGCCCCGAGCGCCAGCCCGGACCCCCGGGACACGCCCCCCCACCACACACACACACACACACACACACACACACACACACACACACACUCCCCCCCCGACCCCGGGACACACACCCCCACCCCACCCCCUGCACCCCCCGCACCCCCGACCGCUGGGACACCCCCCCACACACUCCCCUCCCCUCCAGCAACGCGCGGCGCUCCCAUCCCCCGGCAGCCCACCAGGUGGCGCUCGCUCCCCCAUUUCCCCCCCCCCCUCCCGCGCCGACGCCCGUGACGUCAGCCGCCCGGCUCCAUUUGAGCGCCUCUCGGCAGCCGAGAACUCGGACUUCCCGUGUGGCUCACAACAUAACUACUCGGCUUCUACAGUGGCUGUUGCUUCUACAGUGGCUGUGGCUCGACCCCUGGCCUGGGAACUUCCAUAUGCCGCAGGUGCGGCCACUUGUUUUUGCGCUCCCGCUCGCCUCCCCGGCCCGCCCCGGGCCCUUUCGCCUCGCCUUUUGCCCCGGCUCGCCCGCUGCCUUCGCCUGCCU